UUGGGAUGGUUAUACUAUAGGAUACUAUGGCCGUAUAUUUGAAGCUCGGAAUAAGACCAAGGGCGGUUCAUUUGAGGGUGAUGACAAGGACUUUUUCAAAUUUAGAGUAGGAUCUCAAGAGGUAAUACCAGCAUUUGAAGAGGCUGUUUCAAGCAUGGCUCUUGGUGGCAUUAGAAGGUGC